AUUCCCUGGGGCGGCGUGGAAGGGAGGCAGCACCUCCAGGCGACAAGUAGAGCUGGGCCCUGGCGGGCUGCCACGGGGGUGUCUGGCAGUCUCUCCUGGGUCUAGGGCUGUUCCUCUGAGGUCACGAGGUGGUCCUUCGGUUGGGAAGAUAAAACCAGCACGUGUAAUGUAAUACAUGACAAUGGAAGAUUCUACGUAAUUAAGGGUUAACUCUGAAAUCAGAAGACAAGUUUUCCAAGACUUGGGAAGGUGGAGAGAUCAGAGAUCAGUGAGAGAACAAAGAAUCGGGAGGUCACACGCCACCUGCGGAUGGAGGAGACACACGCAGACAAGACAGGCCCCCCGCCACUGUUGGCACACAGGACACCCACCCAGCCUAUGGUCCUGUCUGUGGUUGGACAACAUAAUCAGAAUAACAG
rnacentral:lncRNA from 1 species